rnacentral:rRNA from 1 species
UACGUAGGGGGCAAGCGUUGUCCGGAUUUACUGGGCGUAAAGAGCGUGUAGGCGGCCACGCAGGUCCGUUGUGAAAACUGAAGGCUCAACCUCCAGACGGCGACGGAAACCGUAUGGCUAGAGUCCGGAAGAGGAGAGUGGAAUUCCUGGUGUAGCGGUGAAAUGCGCAGAUAUCAGGAAGAACACCAAUGGCGAAGGCAGCGCUCUGGGACGGUACUGACGCUGAGACGCGAAAGCGUGGGGAGCGAACAGG